rnacentral:rRNA from 1 species
AUUGAACGCUGGCGGCAGGCCUAACACAUGCAAGUCGAACGAGUGGCGGACGGGUGCGUAAUGUCUGGGAAACUGCCCGAUGGAGGGGGAUAACUCCUGGAAACGGUAGCUAAUCCCGCAUACCAUCGUAUUUGCCCAGAUGGGAUUAGCUAGUCGGUGGGGUAACGGCUCACCUAGGCGACGAUCCCUAGCGGGUCUGAGAGGAUGACAAGCAACACGGGAACUGAGAGACGGUCCAGACUCCUACGGGAGGCAGCAGUGGGGAAUAUUGCACAAUGGGCGCAAGCCUGAUGCAGCCAUGCCGCGUGUAUGAAGAAGGCCUUCGGGUUGGAAAGUACUGUCAGCGAGGAGGCGUUACUCGCAGAAGAAGCACCGGCUAACUCCGUGCCAGCAGCCGCGGUAAUUC